AUUGAAUAAUGUAAUUGAAAAAAUGUAAUUGAAAUUCCAAACCCAAUUACGAUUCUGGUCAUUUUUAUAAUUUUUGAAAACUGCAUCGCCAUAAAGAACUUACAAAAAAAAUAUCUAAAGAAAUUGAAGAUGGGUAAAAUUAAGUCAUUCAAAUUCUAACUUAAAUAUGUGUGUACUGAAGUAAGAAGGAAUUAGGAGGAAGAAGGAAUUAGUAAGAAGGAAUUUAAAUGAAAUAGAUGGCUUUAUCAGUGAUAAAUAAUAUUCACGGACAGAUUCAUUGCACUCUUGUGUGCAAUUUACAGGAGGUCUAAGCUACAACAAAGUGGAUGACACGACCAGAGACCAUGACUUUUUUCUUAAAACUCAGCCUCUGGCUCAGCCAGGAGGAGAUUUAUGGAAACGGUAGUGCAAGGUAGAGGGUGAAGAGGUCGACCAAAGAAAACACGGAUGGAGUGGAUGACGAUAUGAGAGGGAGAGAGGAGUGAGUGUUGAAAUGACGGCUGAUAGAAGAGAAUGAGAGAGAGAAAAAUUAGCUGUGCUGACCCCAGCUAGUGGGAUAAGGUGGAGAAAAAGAAGAGAAGAAAGGCUCAGCCAGGAGUGCCCGAGUGCAUCCAAAGGAGACCUAGUAACUCAAGAGCA